AACGAACGCUGGCGGCAGGCUUAACACAUGCAAGUCGAACGCAUCGCAAGAUGAGUGGCAGACGGGUGAGUAACGCGUGGGAACAUACCCUUUUCUACGGAAUAGCUCUGGGAAACUGGAAUUAAUACCGUAUACGCCCUACGGGGGAAAGAUUUAUCGGGGAAGGAUUGGCCCGCGUUGGAUUAGCUAGUUGGUGGGGUAAGGCCUACCAAGGCGACGAUCCAUAGCUGGUCUGAGAGGAUGAUCAGCCACAUUGGGGCGGAGACACGGCCCAAACUCCUACGGGAGGCAGCAGUGGGGAAUCCUGGACAAUGGGCGCAAGCAUGAUCCAGCCAUGCCGCGUGAGUGAUGAAGGCCUUAGGGUUGUAAAGCUCUUUCACCGAUGAAGAUAAUGACGGUAGUCGGAGAAGAAGCCCCGGCUAACUUCGUGCCAGCCGCCGCCGUAAGAC
rnacentral:rRNA from 1 species